UACGAAGGGGGGCUAGCGUUGCUCGGAAUCACUGGGCGUAAAGCGCACGUAGGCGGAUUGUUAAGUCAGGGGUGAAAUCCUGGAGCUCAACUCCAGAACUGCCUUUGAUACUGGCGAUCUCGAGUCCGGGAGAGGCGAGUGGAACUGCGAGUGUAGAGGUGAAAUUCGUAGAUAUUCGCAAGAACACCAGUGGCGAAGGCGGCUCACUGGCUCGGUACUGACGCUGAGGUGCGAAAGCGUGGGGAGCAAA
rnacentral:rRNA from 1 species